AUACGGAGGGUGCAAGCGUUACUCGGAAUCACUGGGCGUAAAGGACGCGUAGGCGGGUUGGUAAGUCAGAUGUGAAAUCCUACAGCUUAACUGUAGAACUGCAUUUGAAACUACUAACCUAGAGUAUGGGAGGGGGAGAUGGAAUUAGUGGUGUAGGGGUAAAAUCCGUAGAUAUCACUAGGAAUACCGAAAGCGAAGGCGAUCUCCUGGAACAUAACUGACGCUAAGGCGUGAAAGCGUGGGGAGCAAACAGGAUUAGAAACCCUAGUAGUCC
rnacentral:rRNA from 1 species